CCUGCAGGCUUUCAACCUUGACCAGAGGUUUUCAUAAUGAAUGCAGCAUCCCUGGGGAGUGAUCUGAAGCUGGCGAGGCAAUGAGAACACCCUGGCAGGGCAGCUGAGCUGGGUGGAUCCUUGUUCUGUCACCAAGCCUUUAAGUCAUAUGCUGACAUGUUACAGUCCUGCCUGGGACCCUGCCCACAAAUACUUAAGAUACACGACUUUGGGAAUCACCCAACUGAUGGAAAGAACCAGGAAAGGGGUCAGGAUCUGCACCUUGGCAAACUUUGAAGAACACCCAAUUUGAUGAAUGAAAACUCCUCACUUGUGCUCUGGUGGUGUUUUAGGACAAUGGGCCCCUCCUGGGUAAUAGUUAUUGAUGCAGUCUCUAUCAGUAACCACCCCAAGUUUGAGAUCCUUUACAAGGGAAGGUCAUAUUUCCAAAACUGAAACCUUGACCAAGUAUCCCAGAGAGAUAGGAAGGAGAUACCACUCAAGUGUGUCAUGGGCCUGUCCCAGGGCCUGGGAGUCAGCAGUUGGUGGCCUGGGAUCCAAGGGUUAACAGCAUGACCUGUUCUGGCUGGCACCAGUCACAUGGUGUGCCCAACCUCACUGUUAUUAUCUGUUUCGGAUGCUCCAGUGAAGCCCCAUAUCACCUUUUUCCUUCCUGUUUGCCAUAGCUCCAGGUGUAGGGACAGAUCAGAAGAUUCUGGAAAAGGCAGAUCACCAAAGAACUCAAGAUGUACUGAUAUUUUGCCAGUUUCCUUCAUCAACAACUUGUCUUCUUUACCAACUAAGGGCAAACAAAGAGAACAAACUAAAAAAAAAAAAAAAAGAAAAGAAAAGAAUUAAAUAAUUAAACAAAGAACUUAAAUAAGAAGAAAGGUUGUACCUGCCUACAAGAUUAUCAACACCAUGUGAGAACAUCCACUUUGCUGAACUCUUUCUCACAUAUCACCUUUAGAGAUGUUACAUGGUAUGCUUUUAAUUAUCAUUUAAUCCUUUGCUAGUUAGAUUAAACAUGGCAAGUUUCACUAACCGUUAGUACUUCCUUUUUAUGUGAAAUGUCUGUUCAUGUUCUUUGUCCAUUUUUCAAUAGCAUCUUAGAAUAUUUAUUGUUCA
rnacentral:lncRNA from 1 species